GGCUGCUUAUCUGGGAUAAGUUUUGUCUUGAAAAUAAAAUUGAAGUGUUCGAUUCACUUAGUGGCUU
rnacentral:tRNA from 1 species